rnacentral:rRNA from 1 species
CCUACGGGUGGCUGCAGUAGGGAAUCUUCCACAAUGGGCGAAAGCCUGAUGGAGCAACGCCGCGUGGGUGAAGAAGGUCUUCGGAGCGUAAAACCCUGUUGUUAGAGAAGAAAGUGCGGGAGAGUAACUGUUCACGUGUCGACGGUAUCUAACCAGAAAGCCACGGCUAACCACGUGCCAGCAGCCGCGGUAAUACGUAGGUGGCAAGCGUUAUCCGGAUUUAUUGGGCGUAAAGGGAACGCAGGCGGUCUUUUAAGUCUGAUGUGAAAGCCGUCGGCUUAACCGGAGGAGUGCAUUGGAAACUGGGAGACUUGAGUGCAGCAGAGGAGAGUGGAACUCCAUGUGUAGCGGUGAAAUGCGUAGAUAUCUGGAAGAACACCAGUGGCGAAGGCGGCUCACUGGUCUGUAACUGACGCUGAGGUUCGAAAGCGUGGGUAGCAAACAGGAUUAGAUACCCUUGUAGUC